CGAUCGGAAAGUCUGUUUGUCUCCAUGGACUGAACUAAUACAUUGAUGGACUUUUGUCACAGCAAAGGACUCAGCAAGUGUGGUGUGUCAGAUGAAGGUUAUGUUUGUCUGGCUCUGGCUCUAAUGAUAAACCCCUCCUGUGUGAAGGAGCUGUACGUGAACAACAAUCAUUCUGGAGGAUCAGCACAGAAGCUGUUAUCUGCUACACUGGAGGAUCCUCACCGCAAAGUUGAAACACUUCAAUUUGCUGACUGUAAACUCACAGAUAAAUCCUGUGAGAUUGUUGCUUCAGUUCUACAAUCAGCAAACUCCCUACUACAGCUGGACUUGAGUGACAAUGACUUGGGGGAUUCUGGAGUUCAGCUUCUCUCAAAAGGACUGUCCAGUUUUAACUGCAAAAUACACACA